rnacentral:rRNA from 1 species
UACGUAGGUGGCAAGCGUUUGUCCGGAAUUAUUGGGCGUAAAGCGCGCGUAGGUGGCCUCGUAAGUCCGCUGUGAAAGUCAAAGGCUCAACCUUUGAAAGCCGGUGGAUACUGUGGGGCUAGAGUACGGGAAGAGGCGAGUGGAAUUCCUGGUGUAGCGGUGGAAUGCGCAGAUAGUCAGGAGGAACACCAAUAGCGAAGGCAGCUCGCUGGGACGUAACUGACACUGAGGCGCGAAAGCGUGGGGAGCGAACAGG